ACUCCUACGGGAGGCAGCAGUGAGGAAUAUUGGUCAAUGGGCGCAAGCCUGAACCAGCCAUGCCGCGUGCAGGAUGACGGUCCUAUGGAUUGUAAACUGCUUUUGUACAGGAAGAAACACUCCGACGUGUCGGAGCUGACGGUACUU
rnacentral:rRNA from 1 species